CAGCUGUAGAUAUGUAUUCUUCUUCUCUCUUCUCACUGCUCUCUCUGUCUCUCUUCACUUCUUUUCUCUCAUGAUCUUCUUCAGUGCUCUCUUCUCUCUCUCUCUCUGAGUUUGCAUCAGAUCAUGUGACUGCAAGAUGUCAUAGAAGACACAGUCUUUUCUUCACUCUUCUCUUUAUUUUUCUUUUCAGAACACUCACUUUUUCUCUUUUCUUUUGUCUAUCUUAUCUGUCUUUUCUCUGCUGUUAGAAGCACAGACAGUUCUCAGAUCAACUGAGGGAGUUAUUUCUCUUCAUUCACUGUAAAGCCUUUCAGACACAGCAGCAGCAGUUUCUCUUG
rnacentral:sRNA from 1 species